rnacentral:rRNA from 1 species
AAUUAUGUCUAAAUACCCUGAAUGCACCAGAUUGUUUCUGAUCUUGGAAGCUAAACAAGGUCAGCCCUGGUUAGUACUUGGAUGGGAGAUCGGCAUUGGAAAUCAGGUGUCGUACAUA